rnacentral:rRNA from 1 species
GAGUUUGAUCAUGGCUCAGAUUGAACGCUGGCGGCAUGCUUUACACAUGCAAGUCGAACGGUAACAGGCCUUCGGGUGCUGACGAGUGGCGAACGGGUGAGUAAUGCAUCGGACGUACCCGGUCGUGGGGGAUAACGCAGCGAAAGCUGUGCUAAUACCGCAUACGAUCUGAGGAUGAAAGCGGGGGACCGAGCAGCAAUGUUUGGCCUCGCGCGAUCGGAGCGGCCGAUGUCGGAUUAGCUAGUUGGUGGGGUAAAGGCCUACCAAGGCGACGAUCCGUAGCUGGUCUGAGAGGACGACCAGCCACACUGGGACUGAGACACGGCCCAGACUCCUACGGGAGGCAGCAGUGGGGAAUUUUGGACAAUGGGCGCAAGCCUGAUCCAGCAAUGCCGCGUGCGGGAAGAAGGCCUUCGGGUUGUAAACCGCUUUUGGCAGGAACGAAACGGUGUCCGCUAAUACCGGGCGCUAAUGACGGUACCUGCAGAAUAAGCACCGGCUAACUACGUGCCAGCAGCCGCGGUAAUACG